rnacentral:rRNA from 1 species
CCUACGGGUGGCAGCAGUGGGGAAUAUUGGACAAUGGGCGAAAGCCUGAUCCAGCCAUGCCGCGUGUGUGAAGAAGGCCUUCGGGUUGUAAAGCACUUUCAGUGGGGAAGAAAGCCUUGGGGCUAAUACCCUCGAGGAAGGACAUCACCCACAGAAGAAGCACCGGCUAACUCCGUGCCAGCAGCCGCGGUAAUACGGAGGGUGCGAGCGUUAAUCGGAAUUACUGGGCGUAAAGCGCGCGUAGGCGGUCUGAUAAGCCGGUUGUGAAAGCCCCGGGCUCAACCUGGGAACGGCAUCCGAAACUGUCAGGCUAGAGUGAAGGAGAGGAAGGUAGAAUUCCCGGUGUAGCGGUGAAAUGCGUAGAGAUCGGGAGGAAUACCAGUGGCGAAGGCGGCCUUCUGGACUGACACUGACGCUGAGGUGCGAAAGCGUGGGUAGCAAACAGGAUUAGAUACCCGGGUAGUC